AGUCAAAUCCAACAACUUCAAGGCAUUCCACUCACUCAAUCAGUCAGUCAGUCGAGAGAGUAACCGAUUGUGAUGAGUAUUGAGAGUGGUCUUGGAACGGGAAAUGUAGAGAGAGAGAGAGAGAGAAAAGAACAAGAGUGAAGACAAUGAAGGAAGGGAAUUAAAAAGGGGGUCGUGGCUGAUGGAGCGGCUUGGAAGAUGGACGCCUGGCACGCUCAUCAAGAAACGUGUUUUGGGGAUUCGGUGCCUCUCUUGCCGCAAGCUCGCUCAUCACCUCUCUCUCCAAAUCCAAAUUCAAAUCCAUUUCUUCUUCUUCUUCUUCAUAGUUUGUGUAUAAAUUCAGAAAUCCACUUGGCAAUUACCCACUUAUCUGCUCUCUCUCUCUCUCUCUCUCUCUCUCUCUCUAGGAUAGGAUAGGAUAGGAUAGGAUAGGAUGAUCUGUUGUUGUUGAGAGUUGAGACUGAGUGAGUGUGGAGUCUGGUGGAAGGGCAGGGCUGACCUGCGCUGGGACCUUGAAGAUGGAUUGGCUGCACAAGUUAAGGAAGGCAUUGAUUGCUCUCUCUGCCACCCUCAAACUUCGUAGAUCUCUGGGGGGUGUUGGUGGCGAGCGUGGUGGUGGAAUAGGUGGUCUGCUAAAGCUUCAGGAUGAUGUACAAAUGUGUGGAUAUGAAGAUGUACAGAUUAUGUGGAACAUGCUCAGCAAAGCGCAACACGAAGAGGUUGUCGUGUCAUCACCCACGACAACAACAAAGCCAAAUAAGAAGCGAAGACAUGCAAAGUCCCCAGUUUUGGUCAGAUUGGAAACUUGCUCAGUAGAGAAAGCCAAACAUUAGUGUUUAUAUAUGUGUGUGUAAGUAUAUGUGUGGUGUAUAUGUAAUGGUGGUGUAUAUAUGGUGAUGCGGGAGUAGAGAAAGAAAUGUGAGUUGGAAUACAAAUUCUGUAAAUAUAGUUCUUAGGCCCCUCUCAAAUGUAUAUGAAUCACUGUAACCAAUACAAAUAUCAGAGUAGUUACUAGCAAAAGUUUCUUCUUUUCCAGAAGGCAUCAUCAAGCAAAUGCUAAGCAAAUAUUGUGCACACAACAAUAUAAAUUCCCAAAUCAAUCUAGAGAGAGAGAGAGAGAGAGAGAGAGAGAGAGAGAGAGAGAGAGAGAGA